CAUAUGCUACCUCCGUCCCAAAAUUUUUGUCUUAGAUUUGUCUAGAAUUAGUGUUAGAUACAUCCGUAUCUAGAUAAAUUUAAGACAAGAAUUUUGGGACGGACGGAGUAAGUA
rfam:Triticum aestivum genome assembly, contig: Triticum_aestivum_CS42_TGACv1_scaffold_031583_1BL